rnacentral:rRNA from 1 species
UCAAGUGAAGAAGCGCAUACGGUGGAUGCCUUGGCAGUCAGAGGCGAUGAAAGACGUGGUAGCCUGCGAAAAGCUUCGGGGAGUCGGCAAACAGACUGUGAUCCGGAGAUGUCUGAAUGGGGGAACCCAGCCAUCAUAAGAUGGUUAUCUUGUACUGAAUACAUAGGUGCAAGAGGCGAACCAGGGGAACUGAAACAUCUAAGUACCCUGAGGAAAAGAAAUCAACCGAGAUUCCCUUAGUAGUGGCGAGCGAACGGGGACCAGCCCUUAAGUUGUAUUGAGAUUAGCGGAACGUUCUGGAAAGGACGGCCAUAGUGGGUGAUAGCCCUGUACGCGAAAAUCCCUUUGCAAUGAAAUCGAGUAGGACGGGGCACGAGAAACCUUGUCUGAAUAUGGGGGGACCAUCCUCCAAGGCUAAAUACUACUGACUGACCGAUAGUGAACCAGUACCGUGAGGGAAAGGCGAAAAGAACCGCGGAGAGCGGAGUGAAAUAGAUCCUGAAACCGUAUGCGUACAAGCAGUGGGAGCCCACUUUGUUGGGUGACUGCGUACCUUUUGUAUAAUGGGUCAGCGACUUAUUUUCAGUGGCGAGCUUAACCGAAUAGGGGAGGCGUAGCGAAAGCGAGUCUUAAUAGGGCGUCUAGUCGCUGGGAAUAGACCCGAAACCGGGCGAUCUAUCCAUGGGCAGGUUGAAGGUUGGGUAACACUAACUGGAGGACCGAACCGACUACCGUUGAAAAGUUAGCGGAUGACCUGUGGAUCGGAGUGAAAGGCUAAUCAAGCUCGGAGAUAGCUGGUUCUCCUCGAAAGCUAUUUAGGUAGCGCCUCAUGUAUCACUGUAGGGGGUAGAGCACUGUUUCGGCUAGGGGGUCAUCCCGACUUACCAAACCGAUGCAAACUCCGAAUACCUACAAGUGCCGAGCAUGGGAGACACACGGCGGGUGCUAACGUCCGUCGUGAAAAGGGAAACAACCCAGACCGUCAGCUAAGGUCCCAAAGUCAUGGUUAAGUGGGAAACGAUGUGGGAAGGCUUAGACAGCUAGGAGGUUGGCUUAGAAGCAGCCACCCUUUAAAGAAAGCGUAAUAGCUCACUAGUCGAGUCGGCCUGCGCGGAAGAUGUAACGGGGCUCAAACCAUGCACCGAAGCUACGGGUAUCAUCUUUUGAUGAUGCGGUAGAGGAGCGUUCUGUAAGCCUGUGAAGGUGAGUUGAGAAGCUUGCUGGAGGUAUCAGAAGUGCGAAUGCUGACAUGAGUAACGACAAUGGGUGUGAAAAACACCCACGCCGAAAGACCAAGGUUUCCUGCGCAACGUUAAUCGACGCAGGGUUAGUCGGUCCCUAAGGCGAGGCUGAAAAGCGUAGUCGAUGGAAAACAGGUUAAUAUUCCUGUACUUCUGGUUAUUGCGAUGGAGGGACGGAGAAGGCUAGGCCAGCCUGGCGUUGGUUGUCCAGGUUUAAGGUGGUAGGCUGAGAUCUUAGGUAAAUCCGGGAUCUUAAGGCCGAGAGCUGAUGACGAGUGUUCUUUUAGAACACGAAGUGGUUGAUGCCAUGCUUCCAAGAAAAGCUUCUAAGCUUCAGGUAACCAGGAACCGUACCCCAAACCGACACAGGUGGUUGGGUAGAGAAUACCAAGGCGCUUGAGAGAACUCGGGUGAAGGAACUAGGCAAAAUGGCACCGUAACUUCGGGAGAAGGUGCGCCGGUGGAGGUGAAGCAUUUACUGCGUAAGCCCCUGCCGGUCGAAGAUACCAGGCCGCUGCGACUGUUUAUUAAAAACACAGCACUCUGCAAACACGAAAGUGGACGUAUAGGGUGUGACGCCUGCCCGGUGCCGGAAGGUUAAUUGAUGGGGUUAGCGCAAGCGAAGCUCUUGAUCGAAGCCCCGGUAAACGGCGGCCGUAACUAUAACGGUCCUAAGGUAGCGAAAUUCCUUGUCGGGUAAGUUCCGACCUGCACGAAUGGCGUAACGAUGGCGGCGCUGUCUCCACCCGAGACUCAGUGAAAUUGAAAUCGCUGUGAAGAUGCAGUGUAUCCGCGGCUAGACGGAAAGACCCCGUGAACCUUUACUAUAGCUUUGCACUGGACUUUGAAUUUGCUUGUGUAGGAUAGGUGGGAGGCUUUGAAGCGUGGACGCCAGUCUGCGUGGAGCCAACCUUGAAAUACCACCCUGGCAACUUUGAGGUUCUAACUCAGGUCCGUUAUCCGGAUCGAGGACAGUGUAUGGUGGGUAGUUUGACUGGGGCGGUCUCCUCCUAAAGAGUAACGGAGGAGUACGAAGGUGCGCUCAGACCGGUCGGAAAUCGGUCGUAGAGUAUAAAGGCAAAAGCGCGCUUGACUGCGAGACAGACACGUCGAGCAGGUACGAAAGUAGGUCUUAGUGAUCCGGUGGUUCUGUAUGGAAGGGCCAUCGCUCAACGGAUAAAAGGUACUCCGGGGAUAACAGGCUGAUACCGCCCAAGAGUUCAUAUCGACGGCGGUGUUUGGCACCUCGAUGUCGGCUCAUCACAUCCUGGGGCUGAAGCCGGUCCCAAGGGUAUGGCUGUUCGCCAUUUAAAGUGGUACGCGAGCUGGGUUUAGAACGUCGUGAGACAGUUCGGUCCCUAUCUGCCGUGGACGUUUGAGAUUUGAGAGGGGCUGCUCCUAGUACGAGAGGACCGGAGUGGACGAACCUCUGGUGUUCCGGUUGUCACGCCAGUGGCAUUGCCGGGUAGCUAUGUUCGGAAAAGAUAACCGCUGAAAGCAUCUAAGCGGGAAACUUGCCUCAAGAUGAGAUCUCACUGGAACCUUGAGUUCCCUGAAGGGCCGUCGAAGACUACGACGUUGAUAGGUUGGGUGUGUAAGCGCUGUGAGGCGUUGAGCUAACCAAUACUAAUUGCCCGUGAGGCUUGACCA